UGAGUGGUCACCUGCUGGCUACCCCUCUUCUGAUGCAACCCAGGAUACCAUUGGCCUUCUGGGCUACAAGCCAAAGGCCAUGGCUUGUAUCAGAAACAGCACUGCCAGCAGGAGCAGGGAGGUGAUUGUUGUCCUGUACAGAGGCUCAGAGGAGACCUUAUAGCUUUCUACAACUCCUGAAAGGAAAUUGUGGCAGCAGAUCCAAGAGAAGAGAUGUCUGUGCUCCUACAAGUUGUGUGGCUGUCUGUGGACCCAGCGCCUCUCUGUGCACUUUUCCCUGGCUGUCAGGUGUCACCAUAGUGGGAAAUUAUUAUACUGUAAAACUUAAACAGUGUCUCAUAACCUUUGGAUGUGCU
rnacentral:lncRNA from 1 species